AAGAAUCUCAUUGCCAGCUACUACUGCGACUGUCUUCCCGGCUGGAUGGGUCAGAAUUGUGACAUAAAUAUUAAUGACUGCCUUGGCCAGUGUCAGAAUGACGCCUCCUGUCGGGUAUGUAAAUCUUUGCUUAAAUCAAAACUUUGACAAUUGACAACAAAUCUUUAGAUUUGUGCGACACUAGGAGAGCUCUGUCCCUGUGAGAUUUAAAAAUUUGGGUGAAAAAAGAGUCUCUUGGAAGUUUCACUAGGGCUUAUGUUACCCCAGCCUCGUGGGAGUCAUUUUGAAGGCAUGCACGUAGAAAUUCCUCUAACCACUUUCAGAGGUUUAGCAUUUGGCUAUUUCAGUGAACCAGCUAAACCACAACAGUCAUGCUAAACCGCUGAAGCCCUGUGUUUGUGGAAUACAUAGAAAAAAAGCAUGUGUCUCUCUCUCCCCUUCUCUUCUAGGAUUUGGUUAAUGGUUAUCGCUGUAUCUGUCCACCUGGCUAUGCAGGCGAUCAUUGUGAGAGAGACAUCGAUGAAUGUGCCAGCAACCCCUGUUUGAAUGGGGGUCACUGUCAGAAUGAAAUCAACAGAUUCCAGUGUCUGUGUCCCACUGGUUUCUCUGGAAACCUCUGUCAGCUGGAUAUCGAUUAUUGUGAGCCUAAUCCCUGCCAGAACGGUGCCCAGUGCUACAACCGUGCCAGUGACUAUUUCUGCAAGUGCCCCGAGGACUAUGAGGGCAAGAACUGCUCACACCUGAAAGACCACU
rnacentral:sRNA from 1 species